AGAGAAUAAAGAGAGUUCUAGAAGAGUCGGAGACGACUAAGCCAUCAGUAGCCUCAACCUAAAAGCUGGGAAAAGAAGGUUCCAGGCAAAGGAAAUGUCAGGAAGAAUCUACCAGGUAACCGUUCGUGAUCAGCUGAAUCCACCACGAAGAUCAGCAGCCAUCCAUUGGGUGUUCCGAAAGCCAUGCCAACGGUAACUACAGCGCCCACGGAAAAGAACCGGGAGCUCCCAAACACAUCACGGGUCCAUCGUCCAGGAACCCUGUCUCUUCCGACGGAGAAUACACUCAUUCACUCCAGCUUUCAGCAUUGUCUAUGCGGUCCGCACGCACGCUGGCAUGCAGCGCUCGCGGGACAGAGCCGGUCCCUGCGUUCAACUAGGACCAAUAAGAUCCCUGCUCUCUCGACGACGCUAGACAACAAGGGCUGAGAGCUAUGCAUCGGUGAACUAAGGCAAAGCUCACUCCACGAGAACGAAGAACGAGCACUACAUGGUGCCGCCCUUCUUCUCUCCUGCAAACUGCCGCUCUCCCACCACCGCUCUCAGAGCUUGCCAGCAGCUGCACUUCAGCAGCCACAGGCAAGCCUGUGAGUUGCAAUUUCUAGCAGAAAAACCUCUGCUCCAAACCCGAGGAAGCAGAGCUCUUGGUGCUCCACGGAGAGUCGUGCCACAGAGGAUACGCCUUUGCUUUCUCAGGAUCCACAAGCGAGUAAGCAGAAAUAAGCUGCGCUAGUGUGUGAAUAUCUUUUGAAUUUUGCCUAAAAGAAGAAAUGAAGUUAGUAAACAGCUUCUAAAAUUAACGCUAGCAUAAACAGAGAAGAGCCCCCUCAGAUGAACCAAGUGUGGGUCCCCACCACUGUUCAGAGCUUACUUCCACAGCUGCUCUAGGUCACUAACUGCCUCCUUCUUUCGUCCAUAUUUGAGCUUGAAGUUUGCAGCUUCUCUUAUCAAGGACAAAUGAGCAGGGGAUUUGGGCUACAGGUUCAACAAAACAAAAUAAAGCCUUAAGCCAAGUA